AUUGAACGCUGGCGGUAUGCUUUACACAUGCAAGUCGAACGGCAGCGCGGGCUUCGGCCUGGCGGCGAGUGGCGAACGGGUGAGUAAUGCAUCGGAACGUGGCCAGUAGUGGGGGAUAGCCGGGCGAAAGCCGGAUUAAUACCGCAUACGCCCUGAGGGUCUAAGCGGGGGACCGAAAGACCUCGCGCCAUUGGACCGGCCGAUGUCGGAUUAGCUAGUUGGUGGGGUAAAGGCUUACCAAGGCGACGAUCCGUAGCUGGUCUGAGAGGAUGACCAGCCACACUGGGACUGAGACACGGUCCAGACUCCUACGGGAGGCAGCAGUGGGGAAUUUUGGACAAUGGGGGCAACCCUGAUCCAGCCAUGCCGCGUGCGGGAAGAAGGCCUUCGGGUUGUAAACCGCUUUUGUUCGGGAAGAAAUCCUCUGGGCUAAUACCCCGGGGGGAUGACGGUACCGGAAGAAUAAGCACCGGCUAACUACGUG
rnacentral:rRNA from 1 species